CCCUUAGAUGUUCUGGGCCGCACGCGCGCUACACUGACGAUGGCAACGAGUUUUUCCUUCGCCGAAAGGUGUGGGUAAUCUUUUGAAACAUCGUCGUGCUGGGGAUAGAUCAUUGCAAUUUUUGGUCUUGAACGAGGAAUUCCUAGUAAGCGCGAGUCAUCAGCUCGCGUUGAUUACGUCCCUGCCCUUUGUACACACCGCCCGUCGCUACUACCGAUUGAAUGGUUUAGUGAGGACUCCUGAUUGGCGCCGCCGCCCCGGCAACGGAGCAGCGGACUGCCGAAAAGUUGUUCAAACUUGAUCAUUUAGAGGAAGUAAAAGUCGUAACA
rnacentral:rRNA from 1 species